GUUUGGCGCUGCUGGUAUGGUGUGAAUCGCGCCGACUGGUGGCUCUUCCUCGGCGUUCGUGAUAGGAACGAUGGGUGGCGCACGAAGCCGCCUUGUGUAGAUGCCGGGAGAUGGUGGGGGGCAGCGGUUCUGGAGUGGGUCGCGGUGGUGUUGCGCUGCGACGAAGGCGGCUGGGCUGGUGCUGUGGUGGUCGGACAGGUGGUGCGGCCGGAAGAGGGAGUUCAGCGGCGGAUUGAAGCUAGGGCACGGCGGCGGCAAGGAGCCGCUGUUGUCGCCGGAGUAUGGAGAGCAGAGGGGGCUUUGGGCUGCGCUCGGAGGCGGCGGCCUUCCCGCCGUGCGGUCGACGGGAAUCGACAGGGAGGUGGCUGUAGAUUAUAGAUCUAGGAUUUCAGGCGCGGUAUGGUGUGCGUGCAUUUGAGUCAGAGAGAGAGGAGAUUAAGAGGGAGACGAGGGAAGUGCGACGAGCUUGGUGGCUGACGUUGCUGCGGCCGGGGAGGACAGAGGGGGGGCGUGCUUCUAUGGCCAGAACUUGCCUCGGCAGCGGCGGCGACUAUCUCUCAAAGUGGGAGAGAUCGCGAAGAGAGAGAGAGAUUUGGGGAGGAGAUGAGACGCAGCGAGGGUGGGCGGCAGCGGCGCGACGCAGCGCGACAAGGGUGGGCGGCGACGGGCUGGCUCGGGGCAGCGGCGCCGGCGGCGGAGUCGAGAGGGGAGAGAGAGAGUCGAGAGAGACAGUGAGGACGAACAAAACUAGGGCUUCUAGUUUUGGGGGUUAAUUUCUAAAUUUCCUAAAUUUUUUUCUUUUUUCUUUUUUUUUCACUUUUAAUAUUCAAUUUAUGGUAUUUAGAUUUCUAAUUUAGAUUUUUAAUUUAGAUUUUAUAUAAGUGUUAAUAAAAUAAAAAAAAUGUUAUGAAUUUUUUAUUUUUCAAAGUCUAUAUCUAGGAAUAAAUUCAAAUUUUAGGAUAAAUAAUUUAUUUGUUAUUUUUU
rnacentral:lncRNA from 1 species